GAUUUCUGGCUUGAAACAUUUAGUCGGCCACGGUUUCGUGUGUUAGUACUAGGUGUUCUGGCCAUCCUUCCAAUCGCUGCUUGUCUUUCUUCAUUGAUGGGCAAGUGGUAUUGGAUCUUUUACUUUGAAAAAAUUAGAGUGUUUCAAGCAGGCUUACUUGCUUUGAAUACAUUAGCAUGGAAUAAUAAUUUAGGGCUUCGGUUCUAUUUUGUUGGUUUCUAGGACUGAAGUAAUGAUUGAUAGGGAUAGUUGGGGGUGCUAGUAUUCAGCGGCCAGAGGUGAAAUUCUCGGAUUCGCUGAAGACUAACUUAUGCGAAAGCAUU
rnacentral:rRNA from 1 species